UUUAAUAUGGCAGAAUAG
rnacentral:tRNA from 4 species